CUAGGGUGUUCCAGAUGAUGACGGUCGUACAAAUCGAGCGGGAGUCCAUUGUGGGCCUGUCUCUGUAGAAACAAAA